UUUUAAAACCUCCAAUUCGGCUUCAAACACAAUGCAUGCCUGUAUUGAGUACCGCAAAAUUGAUCAGACACCCCAAUCCAGAUCAGUGAAGGUUGUAAAUGUGAGGAUUGAUCACAAAGUUACUUUUAUCACUUAUAACUGAAUGGUCGCUAAACAAGGAAGUCGCUAAACAAGGACUACUAUAAUGGCAGAACAACAAAGAAAAACUUGUAUAUAACCUUCUCCUGGGCAAGCUAGAUUGAACAGAUAGAAGAAUACAAAGGUACAAGAUGGA